rnacentral:rRNA from 2 species
UGGGGAAUAUUGGGCAAUGGAGGAAACUCUUACCCAGCAAUGCCGCGUGAGUGAAUGAAGGUCUUCGGAUUGUAAAGCUCUUUGAUCGGGGACGAAUAAAUGACGGUACCCGAGGAACAAGCCCCGGCUAACUAUGUGCCAGCAGCCGCGGUAAUACAUAGGGGGCAAGCGUUGUCCGGAAUGACUGGGCGUAAAGGGUGUGUAGGCGGUUUCGCAAGUUGGAAGUGUAAUACCUAGAGCUUAACUCAGGUGCUGCUUCCAAAACUGCGGGGCUUGAGUGUCGGAGAGGAAAAUGGAAUUCCUAGUGUAGCGGUGGAAUGCGUAGAUAUUAGGAGGAACACCAGAGGCGAAAGCGAUUUUCUGGACGAUAACUGACGCUGAGGCACGAAAGCGUGGGGAGCAAACAGG